rnacentral:misc_RNA from 1 species
GAUGAAGAACGUAGCGAAAUGCGAUAAGUAAUGUGAAUUGCAGAAUUCAGUGAAUCAUCGAAUCUUUGAACGCACAUUGCGCCCGUCAGUAUUCUGGCGGGCAUGCCUGUUCGAGCGUCAUUACGCCCCUCAAGUCCCCUGUGGACUUGGUGUUGGGGAUCGGCGAGGCUGGUUUUCCAGCACAGCCGUCCCUUAAAUUAAUUGGCGGUCUCGCCGUGGCCCUCCUCUGCGCAGUAGUGAUAUUCCGCAUCGGAGAGCGAUGAGCCCCUGCCGUUAAACCCCCAACUUUCCAAGGUUGACCUCAGAUCAGGUAGGAAUACCCGCUGAACUUAAGCAUAUCAAUAAGCGGAGGA